AUUCCUCUUCCAUCCCUUCAGGAAACACACACACACACACACACCAAGUUCCAACAGUCUGCUGUCACAAAAGCACCACUCGCUUUUUUCCAGUCUCUCAGGGACCAUUUCCUGUUUCAGAUGCCCUUGAUUGACCUUUUACUUUGUCUGGGAAAGCCAAGGCUUUGCUAGACCACUCCAAGACUCUGCUUCUGGACGCCCCCCCCCCAGCUUUACAUGGGAAGUGCUUUUUCCAGUCUGACUCUAAACCCAGCCUCCUAUGACCACCAUCUACUGCAUGGAGGAACGAGUUCUUUCCCAAGGUGGACAUGUUGAGCGGGACUCCACGGAUGUCUUCUGAUGGACCACCAAACCAACAAUGCUGUCCCCAACUCACCCUGCUCUCUGGAGAUCUCAGGCUUGUACCAAUACUUGGAAGUGUCCUGGACAAACUUCACUUUAGCCCGUGUCUCGGGACUGUUGUCUGAAGGAGGAAACGAAAGGACAGUGUUACAGUCACAUUGCAUGCUCCCCAAAAGAUGCCAAUACCCUAACACCCCAAACCUUCUCCAAAAGAUGCCAAUACCCUAACACCCCAAACCUUCCCCAAAAGAUGCCAAUACCCUAACACCCCAAACCUUCCCCAAAAGAUGCCAAUACCCUAACACCCCAAACCUUCCCCAAAAGAUGCUAAUACCCUAACACCCCAAACCUACAAAUGUGGCCUUAUUGAAAAGAGGGUCCUUGUGAAUGUAAUCACAUUUCGACAAAGGCAUGCCAGACUGGGUGAGACCUCAUCCAACACGACGAGUAUCUUUUAAAGUAGGGAAGAGACAGCAAACACAUGGGGACAGCACCAGGUGACUAUGGGAAUGUCUGAAGACACAGAGCACAUCAUCAGAAGCAUCCGUCUGAGUCUCUGCCCACACCAGGAUUUUGAUCUCUGGCCUUUGGUUGGCAUAUCCUGCUUGUGCUUUGCCUCCCAAGCUCAGCCUGAUAUCCAUGAACAGGGGACAAGAAGACCUACAUCUCUCUCCUGUGGCCCAUCCCCAGUUGAUCCCCACACUGAAAGUGGCAUUCUUUAUCAGCAUGGUCAGAAGUCACUCCCAUCCUCUAACAUCUAGACCAAGGAAUGGUCACUACUCUAGUGGCCAUCUAUACAGGGUGUCACACAUAGCCAGAUGAUAUCCCUACUCAGUCGCUCUUUCUGAGAACACUACAUUGUGUAGGGGGACUGGACAUCAUUGAGUCCAACUGUGGCAUUUCCCUGGGCUUGGCAUGUUCCAGUCUCUUCCUCCCAGUGCAGGGACUAUAUAUGAGUGUUAUAGUGCCUGGCUCCUUAUCAUGAUGUCUUUAUCUGAGCCUCCAAAGUCCUCAACCUUGGUUCUUCAUAAAAUACUUACUAUUAUUUUGAAUUACAA